rnacentral:pre_miRNA from 1 species
UGGACUGGAUAGUUGCAAACAUAAUCUUUAUUUAUUUUUGCGACCAAAUCCAGGCCACG